ensembl:lncRNA mucin-3A-like
CUUUCAUUAUGUUCUAAACCAAUAACAUUUUUGUAAUCAUCUCUCUUUGCAAACAUAACCGUUUCAGUUCUGUGCAUUUGCUUGCUUUUUAAAAUUUUCCUUCUCUGAAGUAAACUUACUGUCUCUGAACAGAUAUUUUUUGGGUUAGCGUUGCACCCCAAGCAGCUGUUACACUUUCUACUCCUCUUCCUCCUCCUGAUGCUAAGUCUGCUUUUCAAGCAAUUAAAGUCACUCCGAUGUGGGUUCUUAGCCAGCAUCUCCUACCAUGCUGCACAGCCUUUAAGGCAAAUACAGCAGUAUUUAAUUAGAAACAUAACGGAGGAAUUAAACUAGUACUAACAGAAAUGUGUAGAUUUGUUUCAGUAGAAAAAGAGGCUGGUGAAAGCUAACACAGGGAUUAAAAUUACUACUGUAAUGUGUUUUUCUAUUAGUCCCUAUUUCCUUGUGGUUUUUAUUUGUUUUAGUUUGGGUCUGGAUGCUUGGUUGCUUGGAUAUUUUUUUAGUUUUUGGGGAGUGGUGGUGGUGGAUGGGUGUGUUUGGUUUUGGGUUUCUUUUUCUUUUAUUACUACUUUUCUUUCUUUGAUUUGUUUAAACAAGGUUUUUUCCUUUCUUUAUAUUAUAAACCAUAAGCAUUUUGUAAUAGCCUUUCCUUGCAAACAUUGCCAUUACACCUUCUGCUCCUGCUCCUGCUCCUGCUCCUGCUCCUGCUCCUGCUCCUGCUCCUGCUCCUGCUGAAUAUUUUCAGCUUCACUUUGUACCUCAAGGAACCAGGACACCUCAUGGCCCUGCUCCUGAUGCCCACUGGGGAGAGCCUAGACAGCGAACAUACAUGGUGUCUGAAUCCGACACAACCUCUGGUGCGUCACCCUACAGAACCUACACUAUGUCUGGAACGGACACAACCUCUGGUGUGACACCCUACAGAACCUACACUAUGUCUGGAACGGACACAACCUCUGGUGUGACACCCUACAGAACCUACACUGUGUCUGGAACGGACACAACCUCUGAUUCUUUUAAGCUUCCAUUCUUACCCCAUGGAACCAGUACACCUCGUGGUCCUGCUCCAGCUGCACACUGGGGAGCACCUAGACAACGAACGUACGUGGUGUCUGAAUCCGACACAACCUCUGGUGUGACACCCUACAGAACCUACACUAUGUCUGGAACGGACACAACCUCUGGUGUGACACCCUACAGAACCUACACUAUGUCUGGAAUGGACACAACCUCUGGUGUGACACCCUACAGAACCUACACUGUGUCUGGAACGGACACAACCUCUGAUUCUUUUUGGCUUCCAUUCUUACCCCAUGGAACCAGUACACCUCGUGGUCCUGCUCCAGCUGCACACUGGGGAGCACCUAGACAACGAACGUACGUGGUGUCUGAAUCCGACACAACCUCUAGUGUGACACCCUACAGAAUUUAUAGCAUCUCUGAAACCAACAUACCCCACUGUGUGGUACCUAGCAGAAUCUACAGUUUGUCUGAAACCAACAUACCCUCCAGUGUGACACCAGGCAGUACAGGUGUUGGGUCAUCAAUGGACAUAUCCUCCCAUGUGAUACCCGGCAGACCUUACCGUGUGUCUUCAGCCAACACAUCCAAUGUGACACCCAGCAGAAGAGGCAUUGGGUCAUCACUGGAUACAUUCAUCAACCUAAUACCAACCACAACCGAUACUGGGUCAUCAAUGGAUGGGGUCAUCAAUGGAUGCAUCCUCACGCAUGACACAAAAUAGAACUUUUACCGUGUCUUCAGUCAACAUGCCCUCCAGUUUUACAGAGAACAGAACUGGUACUGGGUCUUCAGUCAACACAUCCUUCCAUUUCUGACCACACAGAACCAGUUCUUUGCCUUCAGUCAGAUCUUCCAGCCAGGAUGUCUCAUCCAGCACCAGGAGAAAUCAGGGAAUUUAAUUAUUGGAGUCCUGGUCAUGUCCGUUUUCAUAACCAAUAUCAUACCUUCUCUUCAAAUGGGAAAAACUCCAACAAUGUAGAAAGAGCUAAUUAAAGUACAGUUGUACCUACCUUUUGUUGUAGUUUAUUGUACGUGAUUUUUUUGUCCAUAAUUUCACAUUUUUAGAAAAUGUGCAUUCAUAUCUUCACAUUUCUGUGUUUCUAAUUUGUAUUAUACCAAAACACUUUUUAUUGCAGCUGUUAAUUUUUAUGUAGUGUACUAAAAUAUCAUAAAACAACAUCUUUAG